ensembl:misc_RNA Metazoa_SRP Metazoan signal recognition particle RNA
GCCGGGCAUGGUGGCGCGUGCCUGUAAUCCCAGCUACUUGGGAGGCUGAGGCAGGGGAAUCACUUGAACCCAGGAGGCGGAGGUUGCAGUGAACAGAGAUUGUGCCACGGCCCUCCAGCCUGGGCAACAGAGUGAGACUUCGUCUCAA